AACGUGACAGGAAAGGGGGGAAGAGGACAGAAAAUUGAGGGAAAAUGUGACAGGAAAGGGGACAGAAAAUGGAGGGAAACGUGACAGGAAAGAGGGGGGAAGAGGACAGAAAAUUGAGGGAAAAUGUGACAGGAAAGGGGACAGAAAAUGGAGGGAAACGUGACAGGAAAGAGGGAGGGAAAAGGGGACAGAAAACACAGGGUGAAAUGUGACAGAAAAUUGAGGGCAAAAAGGGGACAGAAAAUGGAGGGAAAUGUGACAGGAAAGAGGGGACAAAGGGACAGAAAAUGAAGGGAAAAUGUGACAGAAAAGAGGACAGAAAAUGGAGGGAAACGUGACAGGAAAGAGGGGGGAAGAGGACAGAAAAUUGAGGGAAAAUGUGACAGGAAAGGGGACAGAAAAUGGAGGGAAACGUGACAGGAAAGAGGGAGGGAAAAGGGGACAGAAAACACAGGGUGAAAUGUGACAGAAAAUUGAGGGCAAAAAGGGGACAGAAAAUGGAGGGAAAUGUGACAGGAAAGAGGGGACAAAGGGACAGAAAAUGAAGGGAAAAUGUGACAGAAAAGAGGACAGAAAAUGGAGGGAAACGUGACAGAAAAUUGAGGGCAAAAAGGACAGAAAAUGGAGGGAAACAUGACAGAAAAGGGGGGAAGGGGACAGAAAAUGAAGGGAAACGUGACAGAAAAAUGGGGGGAAAUGGGACAGAAAAUGGAGGAGAAAUGGGACAAAAUUGGAGGGUGAAAAGGGGACAGAAAACGGAGGGCAAAAAGGGGACAGAAAAUGGAGGGAAAUGUGACAGAAAAUGGAGAACAAAAAGGGGACAGAAAAUGGAGGGAAACAUGACAGGAAAGAGGGUGGAAGAGGGGACAAAAUUGGAGGGCAAAAAAAGGACAAAAUGGAGGGAAAAUGUGACAGAAAAGAGGGAAAAUGGGACAGAAAAUGGAGGGAAGCAUGAUGAGAAGGGGAAAGAAUGAAAAUAGAGGGCAAAGAUUGGCACAAAAAAGGGCGGGAGGAGGGGACAGAAACUAUGUGGAGAAGGUGACAGAAUCGAGGAGGAAGAGUGAAUCACCAAAACUUGAGGGAAAUGUGACAGAAAAGGGGGGGACAGGACGGAGGGGACAGACAGACAAUGGAGGGAAAAUGUGACAAAAAGGAAGGGAAAGCAGGUGAAAUUUGAGGGAAACAUGACAGAAAAAUGGGACAGAAAAUGGAAGGAAACGUAACAGAAAAUUGAGGGCAAAAAGGGGACAGAAAAUGGAUGGAAAUAUGACAGGAAAAAGGGGGAAAAGGGGACAGAAAAUGGAAGGAAAUGUGACAGGAAAGAGGGGGAGGAGACAGAAAAUGGAGGGAAAUGUGACAGAAAAGAAGGGGGGAAGGGGACAGAAAAUGGAUGGAAACAUGACGGGAAAGAGGGCAGAAAAGGGACAGAAGAUGGAGGGAAAUGUGACAGACAAGAGUGGUAAAAAGGGGACAGAAAAUGGAGGGAAAACAUGACGGAAGAGCAAAAAGGGGACAGUAAAUGGAGGGAAACGUGACAGAAAAGAGGGAAGAAGGGACAGCAAAGGGGCAAGCAGGGACAGGAGAGGCUGGAAGAGGUGACAGAAAAGGGAGGGACAGAAGGUGACAAAAAGGAGGGAAAUGGGAUGGGAAAUGGAGGGAAACGUGAUGGAAGAGAGGGAAAAGAGGACAGAAAACAGGGUGAAAAGCAGACAGAAGAGGCAGGAGCGUGGGACAGGAAAAGGGAAGAGAGGGCAUGAAAUGGAGCAAGGUGGAGGAGGAGGAGGGUGGCAGGUACAUGAGAGAGGACGAGGGGCCAGCAUGUGGCUGCCAUUGUCACCUUUGUCCCCUCAGGCUGUGGCGAUGGACAGUGACACACAGGGUGAGGGCUCUGGUGGCCGUGUCUCCCCCUCACACCUGGGUGUUCCCCCACCCCAGGGACACGGGUGUCACCGUGUGUCUGUCCCCAGCGUCCCUGGUUUCCCCCGGGGUGCAGCGCUGGCUGGAUGUGCUGGUAGGGCGGGUGUGCAGCCUGCACCAAGCACAUCUGGCCACGGCACAGGAGCUGGCAGCAGCACAGGAACAUGGCGAGGGGCUGCGCCAGCAACAGGAGCAGUUGGAGGAGCGUCAGGCAGCGCUGGAGGGGCUCUGGCAGCAGAAACAGGAGGAGCUGCGGGGGGCACGGCUGCGCAGGGAGGAGGUGGAGGCCAAAGGUCAAAGGUGCCGAGGGCUGUGCUUGGGCUGCCAGCAGGACCUGGAGAGGAUGGAGCAGGAGCUGGAGCGCCUGCGCCGCCUUCGCCGGGGAUACAGGCGCGACUUUGGGCAGCAGCUUGAUGCUAUCAUGGAGGAGCACAAACACCUGCAGGAAGCGCACGUGAGGUGCCGAUGCCAGGUCCCCUUUUUCUGGAUGCCAGGACCCCUUUUCCGGACACUGGGGUUCCCUUUUCCUGCAGGCCCCGGCCCAGUUGGAGGCUGAACUGGUGCAACUGGAGGAGGCACGGGAGAAGCUGCUGAGGCAGGAGCGCCAUCUGCUGGAGAUAGAGAAGCAGCUGGGACCCGAGGCGCAUGUGGCCAUGCAACUGGUGCAGCAGGAGCAGGCGAGGGCGCAGCAGCGGCUGGAGGCGGAGCUGGAGCGGCGGCAGCGGG